AAUAUGAAGUUUUAUUAAAAGAAAAAGGGGUGAAAAGAAAUAAGUUUUGUCCAUCUUUGUUCAUCAUAGCUGAAAGUUAGAGAAGAGAAAGGAGAGGAGAAAACUCUUGAGUAUUCGGUCAUUAGGAGGAGGAAAAUUGAAGGCGGUUCGUGUGUGGAUCUCGUCAGCAUAUCGUCACAAACAGGUGUGUAACUAACACCCUCUUUCUUAGUCUAGAUCGGCAAAAGUCGAAAAGCCGAAAUGCCGAAAAUCGGUAUUUUGUAGAUUUGCGAGUGUGCGAAUGCUCGUGAGGUAAAUCGAUUAAUGUUUUUGGUAAGCUGCA